rnacentral:rRNA from 1 species
UACGUAGGGGGCGAGCGUUGUCCGGAAUUAUUGGGCGUAAAGAGCUCGUAGGUGGUUCGUUGCGUCUGCCGUGAAAGCCCAUGGCUUAACUGUGGGUCUGCGGUGGAUACGGGCGGACUUGAGGCAGGUAGGGGAGAAUGGAAUUCCCGGUGUAGCGGUGAAAUGCGCAGAUAUCGGGAGGAACACCGGUGGCGAAGGCGGUUCUCUGGGCCUGUUCUGACACUGAGGAGCGAAAGCGUGGGGAGCGAACAGGAUUAGAUACCCUGGUAGU